UGUGGGAGCGAGCCUGCUCGCGAAGCGGCGUGUCAGCCUGAAUAGAUGUCGACUGACACACCGAAUCGCGAGCAGGCUCGCUCCCACA
rnacentral:misc_RNA from 1 species